rnacentral:rRNA from 1 species
GCUUGUCUCAAAGAUUAAGCCAUGCAUGUCUAAGUAUAAAUGAUAUACAGUAAAACUGCGAAUGGCUCAUUAAAACAGUUAUAGUUUAUUUGGUAAUCGAAUUUACAUGGAUAACCGUGGUAAUUCUAGAGCUAAUACAUGCUGUAAAGCCCGACUUCUCGGAAGGGCCGUAUUUAUUAGAUAACAGACCAAUAUUCCUCGUGUCUAUUGUGGUGAAUCAUAGUAACUGAUCGGAUCGCAUGGGCUACGCCCGCGACAAACCAUUCAAGUUUCUGCCCCAUCAGCUUUCGAUGGUUGUGUAUUGGACAACCACUGGCAAUAACGGGUAACGGAGAAUUAGGGUUCGGUUCCGGAGAGUUGGCCUUAAAAAUAGCCAACACAUCUAAGGAAGGCAGCAGG